rnacentral:rRNA from 1 species
AUGGCUCCUACCGAGGCUGAGGAUGAUGUAGAGGAGGGAGAAGAGAAGAAGAAGAGGGAAAGGAAGGCAGCCGGAGCUGCUUUCACGUGGAUUCAAAAUAACUUUGCGACGUGCCCUCCGGAUGCAACUGAUGAUGUGAUCCAGACACAUGCUCGUGUGUAUAUGUGGUACAUUGUGUCGAGGACUUUGUUUCCUGACUCCACUGGCAAGAACGCUCCAUGGAUGUGGCUGAAGGCGUUGACCGUCUUCGAUAGCAAAUGGAGCUGGGGUUCAACGACUCUUGCCUACUUGUACCGACAGGUAGUUGGUCUGUUUUGUGAUCAACUCAUUUAUUCAUUAGCAAUGCAAGCUUGCUGUCAAGUUAACAUUGUUUUUCUUUCAUAUGUAGCUGGAUGA